rnacentral:misc_RNA from 1 species
UGAUGACACUGGCCCACAAUAGUCGAAUGUGGAACCAAUCUGAUUUUAUCUUAUUACAUAAUUUCUUCACAGUGCAAAAUUAUCCCAAUUACAACAGUAUCUCAAUAUUCCAAGCCCAGUUUUGGUAGAAUUACACAAAGAACUGGCAAAAAGUAAGGAAAAAAAAAGAGGAGCCAUAUGACAUUAAUUCCAUUGUUGGAUCUUGAAGAUGUGAUGGAAUUCAUGGUGAAGUGAGUUUUUGGCUUGCUUUUUUCUUGGAGAAAAUCCCUCCUAUUAAAGGGAUCAAUGCCUUUUUCUUGUUCUUCUUUCUAAGAGAAGGGUGU